GCUUCUUAAAUUUUAAUAAGAAGAGUACUCUGAAAAAAGUCGAAAAUAUAAUCGGAAGUGGUGCAAAGUUAGCAUUUUCAUGCUGGCACCUUUUUGAGUGUAGCGCGCCGUUAGCGUGGUCACGUGACAGAAAUAUGGCCGCCGUGCAUGACAACACAUGGAACUAACCGCAACAGUGCUACUAUGUACGCAAACCAUCGUUCGAAGUUAUAAAUCGUGAUAGAACGUUCAUCUUUCCUAUUAAUUACAAGAUAAUUAAUUUAUCUCGUGUUCAACAGACGGUAAAAACAAAAGGAAUGCUGGCAUACGAAGCAUUAUGUGUUAUAUUAUAAUACGCUGGCGAAUGGCGAAGCUUGGUCCUCGCCAAAUUUUCUGAAAAGACGUGUGUGAAAGAGACGCAGAGCAUAUUUGGCAAAUUUCUGCUGCCAGUUGAGUGUGCCGCAUGAAACACAGAUCAAAAAAAACCGUAGAAAAGCGGAUGACAUGCUUCGCCACCAGUUACAAGAAGAAGAAAGGAGUUGAGCAAGGCAGGGUUUCAGUUAUCAUGUACUGUUCUAAUUUUUCAGGGGUGAGUGAAGGAGCAGAGAGUGUUUGUGGAAUUUCUGAUGCCAGUGCCUUUUGCCACAUGAAAAGAGAUCAACAGAAAGUGUCGAAAAGUGGAUGACAUGCUUCGCCACCAGUUACUAGAAGAAGGAAGGAGGGUGAGUGAAGGAGCAGAGAGUGUUUGUGGAAUUUCUGAUGCCAGUGCCUUUUGCCACAUGAAAAGAGAUCAACAGAAAGUGUCGAAAAGUGGAUGACAUGCUUCGCCACCAGUUACUAGAAGAAGGAAGGAGUUGAGCAAGGCAGGGUUUCAGUUAUCAUGUACUGUUCUAAUUUUUCAGAGGUGAGUGAAGGAGCAGAGAGUGUUUGUGGAAUUUCUGAUGCCAGUGCCUUUUGCCACAUGAAAAGAGAUCAACAGAAAGUGUCGAAAAGUGGAUGACAUGCUUCGCCACCAGUUACUAGAAGAAGGAAGGAGUUGAGCAAGGCAGGGUUUCAGUUAUCAUGUACUGUUCUAAUUUUUCAGGGGUGAGUGAAGGAGCAGAGAGUGUUUGUGGAAUUUCUGAUGCCAGUGCCUUUUGCCACAUGAAAAGAGAUCAACAGAAAGUGUCGAAAAGUGGAUGACAUGCUUCGCCACCAGUUACUAGAAGAAGGAAGGAGUUGAGCAAGGCAGGGUUUCAGUUAUCAUGUACUGUUCUAAUUUUUCAGGGGUGAGUGAAGGAGCAGAGAGUGUUUGUGGAAUUUCUGAUGCCAGUGCCUUUUGCCACAUGAAAAGAGAUCAACAGAAAGUGUCGAAAAGUGGAUGACAUGCUUCGCCACCAGUUACUAGAAGAAGGAAGGAGGGUGAGUGAAGGAGCAGAGAGUGUUUGUGGAAUUUCUGAUGCCAGUGCCUU